UACGUAGGUGGCAAGCGUUGUCCGGAAUUAUUGGGCGUAAAGCGCGCACAGGCGGUCCUUUAAGUCUGAUGUGAAAGCCCACGGCUCAACCGUGGAGGGUCAUUGGAAACUGGGGGACUUGAGUACAGAAGAGAAGAGUGGAAUUCCACGUGUAGCGGUGAAAUGCGUAGAGAUGUGGAGGAACACCAGUGGCGAAGGCGACUCUUUGGUCUGUAACUGACGCUGAGGCGCGAAAGCUAGGGGAGCAAACGGG
rnacentral:rRNA from 1 species